rnacentral:rRNA from 1 species
AGUGAACGCUGGCGGUAGGCCUAACACAUGCAAGUCGAACGGCAGCACAGUAAGAGCUUGCUCUUACGGGUGGCGAGUGGCGGACGGGUGAGGAAUACAUCGGAAUCUACUUUUUCGUGGGGGAUAACGUAGGGAAACUUACGCUAAUACCGCAUACGACCUACGGGUGAAAGCAGGGGAUCUUCGGACCUUGCGCGAUUGAAUGAGCCGAUGUCGGAUUAGCUAGUUGGCGGGGUAAAGGCCCACCAAGGCGAAGAUCCGUAGCUGGUCUGAGAGGAUGAUCAGCUACACUGGAACUGAGACACAGCACAGACUCCUACGGGAGGCAGCAGUGGGGAAUAUUGGGCAAUGGGCGCAAGCCUGAUCCAGCCAUACCGCGUGGGUGAAGAAGGCCUUCGGGUUGUAAAGCCCUUUUGUUGGGAAAGAAAAGCAGCAGGUUAAUACCCCGCUGUUCUGACGGUACCCAAAGAAUAAGCACCGGCUAACUUCGUG